GACGAACGCUGGCGGCGUGCUUAACACAUGCAAGUCGAACGGAAAGGCCUGCUUUCCCUUGUGGAUUGCGGGUACUCGAGUGGCGAACGGGUGAGUAACACGUGAGUGAUCUGCCCCCAACUUGGGUAUAAGCCUGGGAAACUGUGUCUAAUUCCCGUUAGGACUGCAGGGUUGUGCCUGUGGUGGAAAACGUUUUUCUAGUUGUUGGGGAUGAGCUCGAGGCCUAUCAGCUUGUUGGUGGGGUAGUUUCCUACCAAGGCGGCGACGAGUAGCCGGAGGGAGAGGGUGGACGGCCAAACUGAGACUGAGUCAAGGCCCAGACGCGAAGGGGAGGUAGCAGUGGGGAAGAUUGCACAAUGGGCGGGAGCCAGAAGCAGCGAGGCCGUGUGGGGGAUGACGGGAUUGGAGUUGUAAGCUACUUUCGAACGCGAGGAAGCCACGUGGCUGGAAGGGUGGUGACGGUAGUGGAAGAAGAAGCAACGGCUAACUACGUG
rnacentral:rRNA from 1 species